rnacentral:rRNA from 1 species
CCUACGGGUGACAGCAGUGAGGAAUAUUGGUCAAUGGACGAGAGUCUGAACCAGCCAAGUAGCGUGAAGGAUGACUGCCCUCUGGGUUGUAAACUUCUUUUAUAUGGGAAUAAAAUGUUCCACGUGUGGGCUUUUGUAUGUACCAUAUGAAUAAGGAUCGGCUAACUCCGUGCCAGCAGCCGCGGUAAUACGGAGGAUCCGAGCGUUAUCCGGAUUUAUUGGGUUUAAAGGGAGCGUAGGUGGAUUGUUAAGUCAGUUGUGAAAGUUUGCGGCUCAACCGUAAAAUUGCAGUUGAAACUGGCAGUCUUGAGUACAGUAGAGGUGGGCGGAAUUCGUGGUGUAGCGGUGAAAUGCUUAGAUAUCACGAAGAACUCCGAUUGCGAAGGCAGCUCACUGGACUGCAACUGACACUGAGGCUCGAAAGUGUGGGUAUCAAACAGGAUUAGAUACCCCAGUAGUC